UGUUAAGGGGGUGAAAAAAUAGUUUUGUUUAAAAGGUGAAUGUCCAUUUUAAUCUUUAAAAAAAUAAAGGAAUAAAAAAAAUUAUGCGUAACACUUAAACUAAGUGAUAUUGAUUUUCAGUUAACUUAUAAUCGACAUCCGACCUUAGCUCAGUUGGCAGAGCGGAAGACUGUAGUAGUUGCAGAUAAUCUUUAGGUCGCUGGUUCGAUUCCGGCAGGUCGGAAUUCUUUUUUUCUUUUACUUUUUUUUUUUUUUUUUUUUCCAAUUUUUCUCGCUCCUCUUUCUUCUUUCUACUUCCUUUCUUAAACCCCAGAUUUCCUGAAUCAUCUUCUCCAAAACCCCAUCAAUGGCUUUACACUACCUCUUCACCACCAUAACCAAACACUCUCUUAAACCCUACUCUCUCUCCAAAACCCCUAUUUUCUCUCUCCUCCAAACCUCCCUAUUUUCUACCUCCUUUUUAAUCACUAAAACCCCAAAAAAAUUCAAGAAAAAACGCCAAAAACCCAGUCCGAGAAAUACCCUUGUUCAACACCCUUCUUCCUUAAUCACCCACUUCGAAAAUCUCGUCAAUCGCGAUAAUUUCUUCCGAUUUCUCACCCGAUCGAAGCAAUUUCUCGCGAAACAACCCGAGCAUAUUCUCCAAUUAGAUGACGCCGGAAAACUUUACCGGGAACUGGGUUUUCCCCGGGGAAGAAAGGUUAACAAGUUCGUCGCUAAUCACCCACUUAUUUUCGAAAUUUACCGUCAUGAAAAUAAUAAAAUGUGGUUAGGUUUUACUGAGUUUAUGGAGAAUUUACUGCAGGAGGAGGUUAAGAUUAUGGAGAGUAUGGAAUUAGAGAGGGUAAAAGUUGUUAAGAAGAUUCUAAUGAUGUCGAAAGAUAAGAAAAUGGCGUUAAGUAAGAUUUAUCAUUGUAGGUUGAUAUUUGGUGUUCCUGAGGAUUUUAGGGAUUGGGUUUUGAAAUUUUCCGAUGAUUUUCGUGUCGUAAUUGGGGAUGAUGGGAGUAGAAUGCUCGAGUUAGUGAGGUGGGAUCCGGCAUUGGCUGUGAGCGCGUUAGAGAGGGAGUUUAUGAUUGACGAAGAGAAGGUGAAGAAGGCAUUUAAGUUUCCUGUGAAACAUGGGAAGGAAUUGGAUUUGGAGGAUGAUGAUGUGAGGAGGUUGAAUUUGUUGAAUACGUUGCCUUUGGUUUCACCGUAUUCUGAUGGGUGGAAGCACGAGCUUUCGAGUUUGGAGGCUGAGAAGUAUAGGGUUGGGGUUAUUCAUGAGUUUUUGAGCUUGACAUUGGAGAAGAAGGCUUCUAUUCAUCAUAUAGUUGAGUUUAAGGAGGAGUUUAGUCUUACUAAGCAUACUUAUCAGAUGCUUAAGAAGCAGCCUAGGACGUUUUAUUUAGCUGGUACUGAGAUGAAUUGGGUUAUUUUCUUGAAGGAUGGGUAUGAUGAGAAUGGGAAUUUGAUUCAGAAAGAUCCUCAGGUUGUUUUUAAUGAGAGGUUAUAUAGGUUUGCUCAAAUGCAGCAUCCUGAUGAAUUGUGUCGCGACAGUAUCAGUGAAUGAUGGUGACAAAAACAAGCUUGAUUGCGACAGUAUCAGUGAAUGAUGGUGACGAAAACAAGCUUGAUCAAGCAAGAAAGAUGGGGGGAACUUUUAAUGGAUCUCUCAGAGUCCUUGACCUUCCUAUAGGACAGGAGAUUAUCAUGUGUGACUAUUGUUGGGCAGAAAUUUGAGCUGCCGUGUGCUAGUCAUAUCACUUUUCGAAGUGACUCACUGAGUAAAGCAGCUUGUACUUGAAGCCUAAGAUGUGUUCCACAAAUCCUUUAUGAAGCUCAAGGUGCAGAAAUUAGAAAUGCCUGGCAAUGCAUUUUUGAUGAGUCGCACUAAGGCGUAAGUUCACCAGAAUCAUACUGCGUGCAAGUCUACAACCUCGUUUUAUGAACUAUAUAUUUGAUUUUUAAGAAUUGGCCUUACUUAAAUUAGGUGCUUAACCCAUGUGCUUUCUGCUUAGGCUCUAGGACCCUGUCGCCCAUAAAACACUGGUUGAUAAGUUGAGUGAUGCAGGACCAAUACAGUUAAACUUUUUGGCUUACCAUUAAGGAGAGCUGUUGGAAGUUACAAAUUAGCUAGAGUUGCUAAGGUGGCACGGGCAUUCGGGAUAUCCUUUGGUCUUGUGCAUAAGAUGUAAUGAGUAGUUAUUUGUGCCUUUAAACAAUUUGAAUGUGUUCAUUCCACCACAUUAUUUCUGCGUUUGUCCUUGAUCUUUUUUUAAAGGGCAGGAAAAGUUUGUUAUCAGUCAUCAGCCACACCAGAUGCUGGUUUGGCUAGUUGAAUUCGAACCCUGUCACAAUUGAUUUGAUUGUUGGCCAAACAUCCUUGAUAAGGUUAACCGCCCCAUGGUGCCAUUGAAGAACAUGGUUUAUCUUAGGUUCGAAGUCUCUCACAAAAUAUUUGGUUGUGGUUACCUCAUCAUCAUGACUAGCUGCGCCAUGGUGCCAUUGUAGAACAUGAUUAGGCUUAGGCACAAAGUCCUUAACAAAAUAUUUAGUUGUGAUUGGCUCGUCAUCAUGACUAGCCGCCCCAUGGUGCCAUUGAAGAAAAUGGUUAGGCUUAGGCACAAAGUCUUUAACAAAAUAUUUGGUUGUGGUUGUUCAUCAUCAUGACUAGC